AUGACAGAUGAAACCAAGUCAACGGCUGAAGAACUCGAGGAAGAAAACAUUUCCCUUCCAAAUUAUAAGAAACGAAUCUUGAAAAUCCGGCGCCGGCAGCGGUCAAUCUCCGGUGAACUGGAUACUUUUUUCUCUUUCUCAUGGAAUCAAUGAUUCUGCAAACUCAACCAUUUCAAUUCAUGACCCCAAUUACUUCAAAAUUCAUUCCCACAAUUCGAUUUACUGCUUCCUCUGUAGCAUUCAAGCUCUUCUCAUCUUCAUCUUCAUCUUCAGCAGCCUCCAUUACCACAAAUACUCCUGUCAUAGAGCAAAACCCAUCUCCUGAACCAACUAUUUCUCCAAGAAAUGGGGUUGUAAAGGCUAGGGGUAGUAAAGGAAUUUUGGAAGCUCAGCUAAAAUUGGACUGGUUGGAGUCUUUGUCUUGCCCAUUUCCAUGUACCAAGCCUUUGAACACUGGUUGGGUUAUUGGGGUUGACCCGGAUACUUCGGGUGCUUUGGCACUCUUGAAACCAAAUCAACCUCCUCAGGUGUUUGAUUCUCCUCACUUGAAGGUGCUUGUUGGAAAAGGAGUGCGGAAACGGUUAGAUGCAAAAGCUAUUGUUCAGUUGCUUCAAAGUUUUGAAGCUCCUUUAGGAACAACUGUGUAUAUUGAACAAUCAACUCCGUAUCCACAAGAUGGUAAGCAGGGAUGGUGGAGUGGGGGAUUCGGCUAUGGACUAUGGAUUGGGUUGUUAGUUGCAUCUGGAUUUUCCGUUACUCCUGUGCCAUCAAGUGCAUGGAAGAGUGAGUUUCAACUUACAAGAGAACGCUCAAACAAGGAUUAUAGCAGGGAACUAGCAUCUUCAUUGUUUCCCUCUUUGAGUUCUUUAUUAAAGAGGAAGAAAGAUCAUGGUCGAGCUGAGGCUCUUCUCAUUGCUGCUUAUGGCAAAGGCAUCAAGCUAAAUUCUGAUUCUCUUUCCGCGGUGGAAAAUUAGAUGCCUUAGCAACCGGAGAAAAGCUGGUCAAUGAAUUCCAUCUUUUAUCAACUCCAACGCUUAGCAAUUAGUCUUCGAGGUUUUUCAAUCAAUUCGAAUUUUUCCAACUGACUCCAUGAAAUCUCAACGUAAGCUCUGGCGAAAUCGAACUCAUCCUUUCUGUGUUUAACUUAGUUGUUAGCUCUGUUGUAUAAAUAGUGUAGAUGCCUUCAUUAUAGGGAAGGGGAAUUAGAGACCUUAGUUCUUUGACCUAUAUUGUUUCAUCAUUGUAUUGAAUGAACAUUCAGCAUGAAAAACUCUGUGUUUUUUGUUUUGGCUCACAUACAUAUAUAACGGCAUCCAACAAUCGA